rnacentral:rRNA from 1 species
AGAGUUUGAUUAUGGCUCAGGAUGAACGCUAGCGGCAGGCUUAACACAUGCAAGUCGAGGGGCAGCGGGAUGUAGCAAUACAUUGCCGGCGACCGGCGGAUGGGUGCGUAACGCGUAUGCAACCUACCUUAUACAGGGGAAUAACCUUUCGAAAGGGAGACUAACACCCCAUAGUAUUGAUUUAAGGCAUCUUAGAUUAAUUAAAUAUUUAUAGGUAUAAGAUGGGCAUGCGUAUGAUUAGCUAGUUGGUAAGGUAACGGCUUACCAAGGCGACGAUCAUUAGGGGUUCUGAGAGGAAGGUCCCCCACACUGGUACUGAGACACGGACCAGACUCCUACGGGAGGCAGCAGUGAGGAAUAUUGGUCAAUGGGCGCAAGCCUGAACCAGCCAUGCCGCGUGCAAGGAAGACGGCCUUAUGGGUUGUAAACUGCUUUUACAUAAGACUAACCGUAUAUUUGCGAAUAUACCUGAAUGUAUUAUGAGAAUAAGGAUCGGCUAACUCCGUGCCAGCCGCCGC